rnacentral:rRNA from 1 species
CGCCUUGUUUUUACAAAAACAUGUCUUUUUGAAAUUUAAUUUAAAGUCUAACCUGCCCACUGAUUUAUUAAAGGGCCGCGGUAUUUUGACUGUGCAAAGGUAGCAUAAUCAUUUGUCUUUUAAUUGAAGGCUGGAAUGAAUGGUUGAAUGAGGUAUUAACUGUCUCAAUUUAAAAAAAAUAAAAAUUUAAUUUUUUAGUCAAAAAGCUAAAAUAAAUUUAAAAGACGAGAAGACCCUAUAGAUCUUUAUAAAUAUUUUUAUUAUAAAUUUUUAGAAUAAUAUACUAUAUAAUAAAAAUAUUUAUUUUGUUGGGGUGACAGGAAAAUUUAAUAAACUAUUUUUAAUUUAAAACCAAUGAUUUUUGAAUAAUUGAUCUUAUAUUAUUGAUUACAAAAUUAAGUUACCUUAGGGAUAACAGCGUAAUUUUUUUAGAGAGUUCUUAUCGAUAAAAAAGAUUGCGACCUCGAUGUUGAAUUAAAGGUUAUUUCUAGAUGCAGAAGUUUAGAGUUUAGGUCUGUUCGACCUUUGAAUCUUUACAUGAUCUGAGUCCAAACCCGGA